rnacentral:rRNA from 1 species
AUUGAACGCUGGCGGCAGGCCUAACACAUGCAAGUCGAACGAGUGGCGGACAGGUGAGUAAUGUCGGGGAAACUGCCCGAUGGAGGGGCAUAACUACGGGAAACGGUAGCUAAAACCGCAUUCCAUCGGAUCUGCCCAGAUGGGAUUAGCUAGUGGGGGGGGUAACGGCGCACCUAGGCGACGAUCCCUAGCUGGUCUGAGAGGAUGACCAGCCACACUGGAACUGAGACACGGUCCAGACUCCUACGGGAGGCAGCAGUGGGGAAUAUUGCACAAUGGGCGCAAGCCUGAUGCAGCCAUGCCGCGUGUAUGAAGAAGGCCUUCGGGUUGUAAAGUACUUUCAGCGAGGAGGCGGUACUCGCAGAAGAAGCACCAGCUAACUCCGUGCCAGCAGCCGCGGUAAUUC